rnacentral:tRNA from 1 species
GGGCCUUUAGCUCAGUUGGCUAGAGCGUACGCCUCACACGCGUAAGGUCGUUGGUUCGAGCCCAACAAGGCCCACCA